rnacentral:rRNA from 1 species
GACGAACGCUGGCGGCGUGCCUAAUACAUGCAAGUCGAACGCACUCUCGUUUAGAUUGAAGGAGCUUGCUCCUGAUUGAUAAACAUUUGAGUGAGUGGCGGACGGGUGAGUAACACGUGGGUAACCUGCCCUAAAGCGGGGGAUAACAUUUGGAAACAGAUGCUAAUACCGCAUAAAACCUAACACCGCAUGGUGUAGGGUUGAAAGAUGGUUUCGGCUAUCACUUUAGGAUGGACCCGCGGUGCAUUAGUUAGUUGGUGAGGUAAAGGCUCACCAAGACCGUGAUGCAUAGCCGACCUGAGAGGGUAAUCGGCCACACUGGGACUGAGACACGGCCCAGACUCCUACGGGAGGCAGCAGUAGGGAGUCUUCCACAAUGGACGAAAGCCUGAUGGAGCAACGCCGCGUGAGUGAAGAAGGUUUUCGGAUCGUAAAACUCUGUUGUUGGAGAAGGAUGUAUCUGAUAGUAACUGAUCAGGUAGUGACGGUAUCCAACCAGAAAGCCACGGCUAACUACGUGCCAGCAGCCGCGGUAAUACGUAGGUGGCAAGCGUUGUCCGGAUUUAUUGGGCGUAAAGCGAGCGCAGGCGGUUUCUUAAGUCUGAUGUGAAAGCCUUCGGCUCAACCGAAGAAGUGCAUCGGAAACUGGGAAACUUGAGUGCAGAAGAGGACAGUGGAACUCCAUGUGUAGCGGUGAAAUGCGUAGAUAUAUGGAAGAACACCAGUGGCGAAGGCGGCUGUCUGGUCUGUAACUGACGCUGAGGCUCGAAAGCAUGGGUAGCAAACAGGAUUAGAUACCCUGGUAGUCCAUGCCGUAAACGAUGA